UACAGAGGGGGCUAGCGUUGCUCGGAAUCACUGGGCGUAAAGGGUGCGUAGGCGGGUUUUUAAGUCAGGGGUGAAAUCUUGGAGCUUAACUCCGAAACUGCAUUCGAUACUGCCGUGCUUGAGGACUGGAGAGGAGACUGGAAUUUACGGUGUAGCGGUGAAAUGCGUAGAUAUCGUAAGGAAGACCAGUGGCGAAGGCGGGUCUCUGGACAGUUCCUGACGCUGAGGCACGAAGGCCAGGGGAGCAAACGGG
rnacentral:rRNA from 1 species